rnacentral:lncRNA from 1 species
UGUAAAAAUGUAAACAACACCUUAUAAAUUCCAUACGUCCGAAGAUCUUUUCUGGAUUUACUUUCAUCAGGAUCACUUUAUGCCGAAUAUUUGAAAGCCAAUGAUGUAUAAUGACAGAAAUGUUGAAGAGCUAUAAACCAAUAUGGACCGUCAAAAAGCUGAAUCCAUGUAGGGCCUGCUUUGCCUGAGGAAGAUAAAACCUUAUUUUCUAGACGUUAAUGUAACUAGUCUGCAUACGAUACUUUUGACAGGUUUUGAAAUUGGUUAAAUUUAGUAAACUUUCAGAAACAUACUCCAUGAAGUCUUUUAACUUAUUUGCAGUAACCCC